CCAAAUUCCAUGCUACCCAAGAAAGAAGGCUUUUCUUUACUUCUUAACAAUCAAAUUCUGAUGAAGCCUAAGUACAGUCAAAACUCUCAGUGAGGAGAAGUGCAAAAGACAGUGUGUGAUAAGGAAUAUGAUCGGAAAGACUAAAGCUUCUAUGAGAGGCUCCAUGGCAGACCCCCUCAAAAAAAGAUCCUGCAAGACACUGAGGCUCCAUCUGCUGUCAGCACUACCUGAGAAAGAAUUGAGGCAGCUGAAACCACGGCCCCCCAAAUGGUCUGCUGACCUUCCUGAGAGACUAAGCUAGAACCUAAGAUGAGACAAUGCUUUGCUGUGUGGAUGGAGAGAAAGAAUUCCAGAAACUGACAAGAAGUCAAUUGCUUUCCCUUUACUCCCAGCUUGAAUAUAGGAUACAAAGCAACUCUCCAAUAUCUAUAAACUUCAGGCUACUCAGAACUAUAUGGAUAAGAACACGUGACUUACAUGCCCACAUUAGACCAACACCCUUAACAGAGUAUUAA